UCCCAUAAUACUUCCUCGAGAACAUCCUGUCACACACCUUGUUGUCAAAAGCUACCACGAAAAGUUUCACCAUCGAAAUCAUGAAUCGGUCAUUAAUGAGAUCCGACAGAGAUUCUGCAUCAGUCGAUUACGCAGAGUAUAUGCGAAAAUAAGAUUCGAUUGCCUACACUGCAAGCUGCGAGAUGCUCGCCCACGCCCUCCACAAAUGGCUGAUCUGCCUCGCUGUCGUUUAGCAGCGUUCGUUCGUCCGUUCACUCACACCGGGGUAGAUUACUUUGGUCCUAUGGAAGUUGCAAUUGGGAGGAGGGUUGAGAAGAGAUGGGGAGUUCUUUUUACAUGCCUAUCUAUCCGUGCUGUUCAUAUUGAAGUAGCUAGCUCACUUACCACAAACUCUUGCAUAAUGGCAAUAUGAAAAUUUCAUUGCACGCCGAGGAACUCCAGCCAUAUUCUAUAGUGACCGGGGAACAAACUUUAUUGGUUCGGACCGCGAACUGAAGCAGGCAUUAGAAAAGGUUGAUCAACAUAAAAUGGCCCAAGAGUUUGUGUCCUCGGAGACAUCCUGGCGCUUCAAUCCUCCAGCAGCUCCCCAUAUGGGAGGGAGCUGGGAGCGACUUAUACAGUCUGUCAAGCGAACUUUAUCUGAGCUACACCUGUCUCCCCGCCCAAGUGAUGAAGGGCUCAGAAACGCGUUGAUCGAAGUAGAGGGUAUCUUGAAUGCCCGACCACUCACUCACGUACCCAUAGAAGACGAAGCCAGUCCAGCUCUCACUCCAAACCAUUGGCUUCUGGGAAGCUCAGAUGGGGCCAAGCCAUGGUCACUUCUCGAUGAGAACUCUAUUGCUUUGAGACGUGGUUGGCAUUUGUCCCAAAAAUUCGCAAACCAAUUUUGGACCAGGUGGCUUCGAGAAUACCUCCCAGAAAUUACCAGGCGCUCGAAAUGGCAUCGAAGGGUUCGGCCAAUCGCUGAAGGAGACAUCGUUCUAAUCGUCGAUCCAAACUCCCCAAGGAACUGCUGGCCAAAGGGGCGGGUCAUUGGUACAGUGAAUCGCGAUGGACAGGUACGGACUGUGACCAUUAAAACGUCAACUGGUAUAUACGAGAGACCAGCUGUGAAGGUGGCAGUGCUUGACAUAGAGCAUGAGACAAAAUUAGCUGACUCAGAGGCGGAGUCAGCGAACUAGGGGGGAGUGUCAUCGGAGCUGGGUGGUUCUGUGUGCACCUCCUCAUAGCGCAUCACACAUGGAGAAAGAGACGUCAUCAUGACAGUUUUAGCGGAAAGAGCGAGAGAGAAAUGAUAGAUACGUCAGCGUAUCUGCUGACUUGCAGAAACAGAAAUUGAGCGAACUCGAUAGCGUUAAGAGCUAAUUUCUGACGAUCCUAAAAUUAUAAAUACAAUAAUCCUAAAAUUAUUAUUUUAAAAAUUUAAUUCGGUGAAGGAAUUUACUUAUAGUAGUUAUUAAUAAAAACCUAAAUAUUAAUGCAGUGAAAAACUUAUUUAACGGAAAUAAGUGUAUACGGCAGAGUGGUUACGAUAGUAAUUCACGUGGCAACAACUAUCGACGGAAUAAACGACAUACAGAGACGGAAAAGAUAAUCGAAGCACUAAAACGAAUUAAAAACGGAUCAUACUUCGCACGAAUAAACUGGCCGUUAAAUAUUCGGAAAGCAACCUUCUUUCAUCUAUUUCUUGUUGCAGCGCGAUACGCAAGCAACA